rnacentral:rRNA from 1 species
CGUGCUUAACACAUGCAAGUCGAACGGAAUCCAUGGUGUAGCAAUACACCGGAAGAUUUAGUGGCGAACGGGUGAGGAUCACGUGAGAAACGUGCCCCAGACUCUGGGAUAACAAUUGGAAACGAUUGCUAAUACCGGAUGACGUCGGAGAACCGCAUGGUUCACUGACGAAAGAUAUUUCGGUUUGGGAGCGUCUCGCGGCCUAUCAGCUUGUUGGUGGGGUAAUGGCCUACCAAGGCAACGACGGGUAGCUGGUCUGAGAGGAUGAUCAGCCACACUGGGACUGAGACACGGCCCAGACUCCUACGGGAGGCAGCAGUGGGGAAUCUUGCGCAAUGGGCGAAAGCCUGACGCAGCAACGCCGCGUGCGGGAUGAAGGCCUUCGGGCUGUAAACCGCUUUCAGCAGGAACGAAAAUGACGGUACCUGCAGAAGAAGGAGCGGCCAACUACGUGCCAGCAGCCGCGGUGACACGUAGGCUCCAAGCGUUGUCCGGAUUUAUUGGGCGUAAAGAGCUCGUAGGCGGUUGAGUAAGUCGGGUGUGAAAACUCUGGGCUUAACCCGGAGACGCCAUCCGAUACUGCUUGACUAGAGUUCAGGAGGGGAGUGGGGAAUUCCUAGUGUAGCGGUGAAAUGCGCAGAUAUUAGGAGGAACACCGGUGGCGAAGGCGCCACUCUGGACUGAAACUGACGCUGAGGAGCGAAAGCAUGGGUAGCAAACAGGAUUAGAUACCCUGGUAGUCCAUGCCGUAAACGGUGGGCACUAGGUGUGGGUUCCAACUAA